CAGCAGUUACCAUUGCUGCUGGGACAGCUGCAAUUGGUUAUCUAGCUUACAAAAGAUUUUAUGUUAAAGAUCAUCGAAAUAAAGCUAUGAUAAACCUUCACAUCCAGAAAGACAACCCCAAGAUAGUACAUGCUUUUGACAUGGAGGAUUUGGGAGAUAAAGCUGUGUACUGCCGUUGUUGGAGGUCCAAAAAGUUCCCAUUCUGUGAUGGGGCUCACACAAAACAUAACGAAGAGACUGGAGACAAUGUGGGCCCUCUGAUCAUCAAGAAAAAAGAAACUUAAAUGGACACUUUUGAUGCUGCAAAUCAGCUUGUCGUGAAGUUACCUGAUUGUUUAAUUAGAAUGACUACCACCUCUGUCUGAUUCACCUUCGCUGGAUUCUAAAUGUGGUAUAUUGCAAACUGCAGCUUUCACAUUUAUGGCAUUUGUCUUGUUGAAACAUCGUGGUGCACAUUUGUUUAAACAAAAAAAAAAAAAAAAAGGAAAAACCAACCUGCAUGGCCUGUGGGUUAUUUUGGUCUUGUAAGGAUCCAUUUCUUUAAAAUACUGACAUAUAGAGUUGUACCUUAUAUAGAAUAUAGUUGUAUCUUGAAGUCAACAUAUUAAAUUAUUCUCAAA
rnacentral:lncRNA from 1 species